rnacentral:rRNA from 1 species
CUUGGCGACCAUAGCGUUUUGGACCCACCUGACUCCAUCCCGAACUCAGAAGUGAAACGAAACAGCGUCGAUGGUAGUGUGGGGCUGUCUCUUAUACACA